UCUCAGUUGUUGAUUAAUGGUCACACAGGACAUGCAGGUAAACAAAUAAAAAUAUUUUGUCUUUUUAGUAAAUGUUAUUUUUGUUGAUUGAUGUUAU